rnacentral:rRNA from 1 species
UACGUAGGGGGCUAGCGUUGUCCGGAAUCAUUGGGCGUAAAGCGCGUGUAGGCGGUCCGGUAAGUCCGCUGUGAAAGUCGGGGGCUCAACCCUCGGAUGCCGGUGGAUACUGUCGGGCUUGAGUACGGAAGAGGCGAGUGGAAUUCCUGGUGUAGCGGUGAAAUGCGCAGAUAUCAGGAGGAACACCAAUUGCGAAGGCAGCUCGCUGGGACGUUACUGACGCUGAGAAGCGAAAGCAUGGGUAGCAAACAGG